UGAUUCAUCACACACUUAAGAAAAGACCAGCCUCAUUUCCGCCCCAGCUUGAGGGGAAAUGAGCGCUCUGUUCUGUGGCAACAGGUCUGCGAGAGGGAGGGGCCCCACAGCCACAGCUCUGGCCCAGAUGAGCCCACCCGUACCAGAUGAGCGGAGGCUGGCUUGAACUAUGUCCUGCUGUCUCCUUGCCCUUCUCCUGGGCACUUUCUUAGGUGUCAGCGCUCAGACCAUCCACCAAUGGCCACCUGUCAAGGUGCAGCUUGUGGGCAGCCCGCUCUCCCUGGAGUGCAUCGUGAAGGGGGAAUCAAACCCUUAUCUAUAUUGGUACCGGCAGGCCGAGGGAGGGCCCCCCCAGCUGCUCUUCCACUCCCUAAAUAUUGGCCAGGUAGACCCUGAGGCACCACGGAACUUCACAGCCUCCAGGCCCCAGGACGGCCAGUUCAUCUUGAGUUCUCAGAAGCUCCUCCUCAGUGACUCUGGCUUCUACCUCUGCGCCUGGAGUCUCACACUGAGCCGGGUGAGGUAGACAUUUGUGCAAAAACCCCACCCUCUCCGGGAGCCCUCCCCCUGGGGUUGGGCGGAGGAUAUUUGGGUUUCUGAUUGUCAGCCAAUAUGAGAACAACAGAAUCCAGCCAGAUUCUCCUUCACUAAGUUCUCAGGGAGAAGAGAAACGUAUUCGCGUGUGGGCCCUGCGAAUUGCACACACACGGUCAAGUCCCCAGUGUACGGAUGCCUAAGCCUAGGCUGUUACCCUCCAGCCCUCAAAGUGAGCUGGACCCUGCCUCACACCCUGUUCUCUCAAAGUCCCGUCUGUCCACACUGGGGAGUGAGAGAGUCGGGAAACACCUGCAGCGGGAUGUGGUGUGGUGGCAGACAGGUGGACAAUUAUGAAGAUGCCGACUCAGGUGACUUACUUGGUUAAUUUCAGUCACCUGGAGAGUCUCCUUUUGUUGAUCUUUCUGUGGCAAGUAGACAUCUUGGGGGAGCUUGGGUGAGGCUUUGCGGCGGGGAGGGGCCAAGGCUUUCAGCCGACUGUUCUCAUGUCGGCUGGAAGUGCGCAUUUGUUAGGAGCAGAAACCACACUGAGGGAUUUUGACUAUUGAUUUGGAUUUUGGGCUUUUUAAUUCGUCUUCCACUGUGUCUCAUCCCUUCCCUUGUAGCGAAAGAGGGAGCAGAGAAGCAGAUGGUGACCAAAGAGAUACAAGAGACAGGAAAAUGACGAGGGCACGCGUGUAUGAUGCUAAAACCCUAAAAAGAGAAAUUAUUUGGAUGAGCAUGAAGGAGAGGAAAAGGCUUCUGGGGGUGGCUGGGAAGAGAUGCCACGGUUUCCCUGGCAACCAAACUUCCUUCCUCAUCCCUGAGUCCCUCAUUCGUCCCUCGUCCUCCUUAUUCUUAACAAGGUUUUCUUUUCUAAUGUCCCUUGUGCUCCACGAGGGGGCACAAGAAUCUUAAAAUACUCUGUCCCUGGGAUCACUUCAUCUGGGACAAUUCAGACAUUUGUUUUUAUUUUCAGCAUCAUUCGAUCUGCAGAGGGAAAUCUGAGACAGAGACGGGUAGGGUUGGAGACGGUAUUUAAUAAUGCCCCGGGGCUCCUAUCGCCCCUUCAGUAUCUACUUACGUAUUAAGCAGCUAUUAUGUGCUGGGCACUCUGAGCCAUCACAGGGAUCAAAAAAGAAAAAAAUGUAGUGCCCUCAAGACGGUGCUGGGCCUAGUCACAGCAUGGUUUUAAUCAAGGCUCUUGGUUUGCUUUUUUCCCCAUGUGUGAGAAUAUUAAUUGACGAAAGCAAUCAGUAAUGCCAUGACCACAAAAGGAAAGAUGCUUGUACGGCACAAGUUUGGUUCACAUUGAAGAGUAAACGAUGUUUCAAGCCAAUGUUUAUUUGUUAACUGAUUAUGGAACGUUGGUGGAAUUGGAUCUCUCCCCGAAACAGUGCUGUCUGAUAACUUGGAGUUAAUAGACUUUAGAACAGGCUUAGUUUCACACAAAAACUGAGCAGAUAACAGAGAAAGUUCUCACAUUUGUUCCUCUGAUCCCCCUGUUUCCUGUUAUUAACAUCUGACAUUGGUGUGGUAUAUUUGUUACGUUUUAAAAAAAUUUUAUUUAUUUUUGAGAGAGCGCGAGAGAGAAACAGAGUGAGAGUGGGGCAGGGGCAGAGAGAGGGAGACACAGAAUCCGAAGCAGGCUCCAGGCUCUGAGCUGUCGGCAUAGAGCCCGAUGCAGGGCUUGAACCCAUCAACCGUGAAAUCACGACCUGAGCCGAAGUCGGACACUCAACUGACUGAGCCACCCAGGCGCCCCUGUUACUUUUUAUGUCUUACCUGUCUAUGGUUUUUGACAAAUAUACUGUGUCCUGUAUUCCCCAUGGCAGUGUCCUGUAAACAGUCUUACUGUCCCAGAUCUCCUGAACUUCACCUGUUGACUUCUCCCCUCUUUUCCUGAUCUUUUCACUGUCUGUAUAUUUUUAAGGCAUUUAGUUUUUGAGGCUAAAUUUACUAGUUGUCUUAACCUUGGGCGAAUUAUAUCAUUUCUCUUUCCUCAACUGUCAAACUGAUUGGAUUAAGUAUAUUAAAUGAGGUGAUGUCAUGUUAUAAAGCCCUAUUAUAGGGUCUGAUUUUCAACGGAUAUUAUUUUCCUCUUUUAGCUUACAAGAUAUUUUGAUUCCAACUCACCCAAA